GUCUCUUUGUAAAAUAUAAAUAGAGAGUCGGGCCUGCUCGGUGAACAAGUUUUUAACAGCUGCGGUAUUUUAACUGUACUAAGGUAGCAUAAUAAUUUGCCUUAUAAUUUGAGGCUAGAAUGAAUGGUUUGACGAAGGUUAAUCUGUCUCCAUCUUAUUUUUUAGAAGUUAAUUUUUAAAGUGAAAAAGCUUAAAUUUUUCAAAGGGACGAGAAGACCCUAAUGAGCUUAUAAUUUUAUUAUCAUUAUUUAAAACAUUUAGGUGGUGGUAUAUAAAUUUUAAUUGGGGUGAUUAAGGAAUAAAUUGUGUAUAGUAACUUCCUUAAACUAGGUAUUUGUAGAUAAAGUAACCAAUGUAAUAUUGCUUAUAGUAUAGUUACCAUAGGGAUAACAGCGUAAUUUGUUUAGAGAGUUCUUAUUGAAAAACGAGAUUGCGACCUCGAUGUUGGAUUAAAGUAACCCUAAGGUGCAGAAGCUUUAGUAGGUAAAUCUGUUCGAUUUUUAAUACUUUACAUGAUC
rnacentral:rRNA from 1 species